UCUUCAAUUCCCCGCACUCUCUCACCGGUCAGAGAGACGAGAGAGUUUGUGAAAUGAAGAGA
rnacentral:pre_miRNA from 1 species